UACAGAGGAUGCAAGCGUUAUCCGGAAUGAUUGGGCGUAAAGCGUCUGUAGGUGGCUUUUUAAGUCCGCCGUCAAAUCCCAGGGCUCAACCCUGAAUCGGCCGUCGAUACUCCUGGGCUCGAGCACUGUAGAGGCAGAUGGAAUUCCGGGUGUAGCGGUGGAAUGCGUAGAGAUCCGGAAGAACACCGGUGGCGAAGGCGGUCUGCUGGGCAGUUGCUGACACUGAGGCGCGACAGCGUGGGGAGCAAACAGG
rnacentral:rRNA from 1 species